CCCUUUUUGUUCGGUCUUUUAAUAUCAAUAGUAACUUAUCAUUGAACUUUUACUAUUACUUAUUGAUGGGGAAAGAGGAUGGAUUGGUUUAUUUGGGCUUUUUAAACAAGAUGUUUAUCGGUAGCUGUGUUUUGACGGUUUUCUAAUAUUUUUCUUUUAAUAAAGAAAUCCAAUAAUUUGAUAAUGUCGAAAAGACCUCAUUGAAACAAUACUUUAAAGGCUAUUUACAAAUGAUUUUUUCCAGCAACAUUAGUGUACCGAUUUUCAAAUCUCGUCAAUCGAUUAGGAAGAGGCAACAAACAGAAACUGAGGGAAUCGUACGAAUUCCAGAAGGAGUAAGACCGGAAGCAGACAUAAUUUUCACAGAAUAGAGUAUAAUUGGCAAAAAAUAUAAAGAAUAGAGAAAAAUGGACGAAAAAAUAAAGAAUAGAGAAUAAUGAGGUGCUAAAAUAUAAUGGACAGAGAAUAUAACGGGCUAAAAAAAUAAAGAAUACAGAAAUGAAGGACCCCCAUCCAGACCCUCUCAUAUUGGCAAAGUUGAUGAGGAGAUUUAUGAAAUGUUAUACCACGAAGACAAACCGAUGAGAAAAGUUCAAGCAGAAGCUUUGAACUAUCAAAUUGGAAUAUGUUAGUAUACUGCAUAAAUUAGACCAGCUACUUAACCCUAACAUGAGUAUAACAGGCUGUCCGAGUCAACAGAUAGCUGGUAUUG